rnacentral:lncRNA from 1 species
ACACCCAAAAUGACCCAAAGUGUUCCUGAAACUCCGGGUUUGGGGGUUCAGACCCCGAAUCCAGAUGUUGGGGGGCCCAAAAAUGGGGGUCAGAUGCUGGUGGUGGACAGUGACACAGAUGUGGAGGAGGAGGAGCCACAUCCAGAUGUGGGGAGCCCGAAAAUGGCCCCAAAAGACCCCAGAAUUCCAGGUGUGGUGGAGGAGACCCCAAAUCCAGAUGUUGACGGCCCCAAAAACAGCCCUGGGCUGUUCCUGGUGGACAGUGACACAGAUGUGGAGGAGGAGGAGCCACAUCCAGAUGUUGGGAGCCCGAAAACACUCAAAAUGACCCAAAGUGUUCCUGAAACUCCGGGUUUGGGGGUUCAGACCCCAAAUCCAGAUGUUGGGGGGCCCAAAAUCGGCCCGGGGCUGUUCCUGGUGGACAGUGACACAGAUGUGGAGGAGGAGGAGCCACAUCCAGAUGUUGGGAGCCCCAAAACACCCAAAAUGACCUUAAAACACCCCAAAACUCCAGCUGUGGUGGCAGAGACCCCAAAUCCAGAUGUUGGGGGCCCCAAAAAUGGGCAUCAGAUGCUGUUGGUGGAGACUGACACAGAUGUGGAAGAGGAGGAGCCACAUCCAGAUGUUGGGAGCCCCAAAACACCCAAAAUGACCCUAAAACACCCCAAAACUCCAGAUGUGGCCGUGAAGACCCCAAAUCCAGAUUUUGAGGGGCCCAAAAAUGGGCAUCAGAUGCUGGUGGUGGGCAGUGAGACAGAUGUGGAGGAGGAGGAGCCACAUCCAGAUGUUGGGAGCCCCAAAACACCCAAAACGACCUUAAAACACCUCAAAACUCCAGAUGUGGUUGGGAAGACCCCAAAUCCAGAUGUUGAGGGGCCCAAAAUCAGCUGUGGGAUGUUCCUGGUUGACAGUGACACAGAUGUGGAGGAGGAGGAGCCACAUCCAGAUGUUGAGAGCCUAAAAAGGCCCAAAAUGACCCAAAACGUCCCUGAAACUCCAGGUUUGGGAGUUCAGACCCCGAAUCCAGAUGUUGAGGGGUCCAAAAUUGGCCCUGGGAUGCUGGUGGUGGAGAGUGACACAGAUGUGGAGGAGGAGGAGCCAAAUCCAGAUGUUGGGAGCCCAAAAAGGCCUAAAAUGACCCUAAAACUCCCUGAAACUCCAGAUGUUGCAGUGGUGACCCCAAAUCCAGAUGUUGGGGCCUCCAGAAGACCCAAAAUGGCCCCAAAAGUGCCCGAAACGCCGGGUUUGGGGGUGCAGACCCCAAAUCCAGAUGUUGGGGGCCCCAAAAAUGGGGGUCAGAUGCUGGUGGUGGACAGUGACACAGAUGUGGAGGAGGAGGAGCCACAUCCAGAUGUUGGGAGCCCCAAAACACCCAAAACGACCUUAAAACACCUCAAAACUCCAGAUCCGGUUGGGAAGACCCCAAAUCCAGAUGUUGAGGGGCCCAAAAUCAGCUGUGGGAUGUUCCUGGUUGACAGUGACACAGAUGUGGAGGAGGAGGAGCCACAUCCAGAUGUUGAGAGCCUAAAAAGACCCAAAAUGACCCAAAACGUCCCUGAAACUCCAGGUUUGGGAGUUCAGACCCCAAAUCCAGAUGUUGAGGGGUCCAAAAUUGGCCCUGGGAUGCUGGUGGUGGAGAGUGACACAGAUGUGGAGGAGGAGGAGCCACAUCCAGAUGUUGGGAGCCCAAAACCACCCAAAACGACCCAAAAUGUCCCCGAAACUCCAGAUGUGGACGUUCCGACCCCAAAUCCAGAUGUUGAGGGUCCCAAAACCCGCCGUGGGCUGUUGCUGGUGGACAGUGAGCCAGAUGUGGAGGAGGGGGAAGAGGAGGGCUCCGAUGCAGAUGUGGCCACCCAGCUGUUCCUGCCCCCUCCAGAUGUGGAAGAGGGGGAGGGCUCCGAUGCAGAUGUGGCCACCCAGCUGUUCCUCCCCCCUCCAGAUGUUGGGGCCCCGAGCUCCCCCCCAACUCCAGAUGUUCCAGGGCCUGAUUCAGGGGUGGGAGCGGACCCAGAUGUGGAGGGGGAGGAGCCAGAUCCAGAUGUUGGGCUGCCCAAACUCCUCCGGGCCCGCCUGGGUGUCUCCAGAGUUCCAGAUGUGGAGGGACCAGAUCCAGAUGUGGAGGA